UACGUAGGUGGCAAGCGUUGUCCGGAAUCAUUGGGCGUAAAGAGCGCGCAGGCGGCUUGGCAAGUCGGGUGUGAAAUCCCGGGGCUCAACCCCGUGACUGCAUCCGAUACUGUCAGGCUAGAGGUAGGUAGGGGAGAUCGGAAUUCCUGGUGUAGCGGUGAAAUGCGCAGAUAUCAGGAGGAACACCGGUGGCGAAGGCGGCUAUCUGGCCCGUAAUUGACGCUGAGGCGCGAAAGCGUGGGGAGCAAACAGG
rnacentral:rRNA from 1 species